rnacentral:lncRNA from 1 species
UCGAAUUUGGGAUGCCGGUAGUUGAUGUAGGCAAGUCGCCGAACGACUUUAAAAAUGAUUUUGUUCAUCUUGCCUUUGCAUUCAUGCUUUGUUCGAUUAUUGUAUGUCAAAUGUAUGAGAUGUGAUGAAUGGUUAGCACCCACGUACUUCAUAUCCCCAAAGCUUUUGAAGCCUUGACACAUUCGCACCUCAUGAUGUAAACGCGAAUGUGCGACAUAACCAUUAGGAAUCGAACGCGAUACCUCUGAGUGUUAGCUCGUGUACCUGACGUCCGCCCGGAAUGACUAUGCCAUAUGCCCGGAGUAUGGUAAAACUCGAAACCAAGACUUACAUCUUGGAUAGGAUCGCUCUUACCACUUGGGCUAACCUUGUCUUUGGUGUAGGGAUUUUUCUUGCUCUUGCUGGUUUUGGUCUUCUCUCCCUCCCACUUCAAAAUAUUAUUUUGGGUAAAUUCCGCUUACCUCCCCUGAGUUUAUGACAAAUAUAUAAUUACUUUUCUUAGUUUACAAAAUAAAUAUUAACUCCCAUGACUUUUGAAAUAAUUGUUAAUUCGCCUUAAGCUAAAUUUUGUGCAAAAAAGACAGAAGGGGUCAGCAGUGGGAGGGACGUGCAAUUUUGUUCUUAAUAAAACAAUUUUAAAAUAAAUAAAAUAUUUUCUCUUUUUAAAAAAAUGAUAAUAAAAUUUAUUUUUUUUAAGUUAUAUUUAGUAGAGGACUUGAUGAACGUUAAAAUAUUUAGAUAGGUUUUUAAAAAAAAUAGUAAGUAGAAAUUUUUUUGAUAGUAUAUUUUUAUUAAGAAUUAAAAAUUACUUAGAUCAAUCUUUUUAAAAAAAAUUAUUAUUGAUAAGAAAUAAAAGGUAGAAAUAAUUAUAAAUAAAUGGAUUUUGAGGGAAAAAAAUAGAAUAUUUAUUUAUUUUAAUGGGUUUUUUGGUGGGUGGUGGUUGUGUUGUGUUGUUUGUAUUGAGGAAAAAAAAAUUGAAAUCCCUAAACCACAAAGGAAAAAAUUUAUUAUUUUUGCAAAAAUUUAGCUUCAGGCGGAGGGAAUUUUGAUUAGAUAUUAGGUUCUAGAAGUAAUGGACGGUGAGUUAGGAGAGGGAAAAAGAAGAGAAGGGGAAGGGAGGGUGGGAGAAAACCUCAGGGGGGGGAGGUCAGUGAAAUUCACCCAAUUAUUUUUCAACAGUUGGCUGUUUUUCUAUUUUCUGUUCAUAUAGAUGUGAUUUUCCUUAUUAUGUCUCACUUGUAUAUCAAAUUUGUUGGAAAUUAAGUUUGAUAUUUUAAUAAAUAUUAAAAUAAAAGUUGUAUCUUUUUAUUUAAAGUGCCUUUUAGAAUUUAUUUUGAACCAAGAGUUGUCUUUGAAAAGACAUUUCUUUUAUGAAAUGGUGUCUUCAAAUUUAUAAAAGGGACUAUCAUACACAUCAUUUGUAAGGUCAAUUCUAAUUUUAUUUCUAUUAUUCUCCUACCAUAAAUACUAUUUUCAUAUUUCUUAGUAAUUAUGAGAAAGACUUGGUACCCCCGUCUUCCACCGAUCACACUCUAUGAGAUUUAUGGGUUGUAUCUUGGAGUGAUAUUCGACCGUCAGAAUCUGCGCGAAGGGACACGAAUACGAUUUUAGACAAAUACUUAUCAUGAUCUUAUCAGUAUCACACUAGCUAUUUCUUUAUUGGAUAUAAUUAUUAAUUUACGUAAGUUAUGUUUAUUAUUUUUUGUAAAUAAUUAAUAAUUUUUUGGUAUUUUAGAUAAAUGCGUGUGAUAAAUUCUCAAACAAAUUUGUGAUGUAAGAGGGAUGAGUGACUUUUGUAAAUGAUAAAAGAAAACUGUUAUUUAAUAUAUAUCAUUAUAAGGUGACGAAAGUAGCAUUAUUUUUUCGUUUGGUUUUCUUUUAAAAGGGGGGAGACCUCUCGCUACCCGUCAGUGGAAGAAGGGAAAUUUGAUUUUGAAUGUUGGUGGAAACCAUUUUUUCUCGUGAAGUGCGCCGCGUUGAUGGAGUGGAACAUUUUCUCAAAGCUAUGUAAUUACUGUCACCUAUGCAAAUUGCAAUGUUGCCUGAAGUUUGUUGGAUGGUUUGUGCCCUGUGAUCUUGAAUUUUUUUUUUUUUAGAAGGGGGGGGGGGGGGGGGGGGGGGGGGGGGACAAAGAGCAAUGAUUUAAAUAUAUAUUGUAUAAAAAUAAAUCCACUUCACAUACUUAUGCUAUUGUGGCGAUGUUUGGGGUUGAUAAAUUGGAAGAACAUGACUCGUUUUUUGAAUUGUAGUUGUAAGCAAUUGCACUUAGACAUUUUACUUGAUUUUUUUAUCUUUUUUAAAAAAGUACAGUUAUAAAUCUUUUUAACGCAUAGUCUAGUAAGAUUGUGCUUGGAUUACAAUUUGAUGGAGGGAAAGGAGAAGGAAAUAAAAAAAAUUAAAAAAUCAAAUAAUUUAGAUUUAUUUUUAUUUAUUUUUACUUUCUUUUCUCUCAAUAAAUUCCUCCCUAAAUCCUUAAUCUAAAUAUAGCCUUCCCUUUUAAAGUUUUACUAUAUGCUUGCAAGUUUUAGAAACAGUUGCAAUAUUCUGCUGCAUUAUUCCCACUACACUAUCAGUUAGCAAAUCUAUAUGAAUCUAUUGAAAUGUCUCACAUUGUCCUUAUGUCUUCUUAAUGUUGUCUAUAAGGUUCAUAUUUUUUUCUCUUUAAUAUAUGAGUUUUAAGCAGAAAGAUGGGCUGAAUCUGACAAGUAGUAUCAGAGAAAGGUUGGACCUUAAUAAGGAAAAAAAAAUUCUAUCAUUUCAAACCACUCAUUUCAACAUAACUUCAACCAUUUCCUCAAUUUAGCGAAAAUUGCUCAAUUGCUAUUCAAUUUUCAUAUAAAAAAUGCGAUUGUGGUUGCUUGAAUUUAAACUUAUGUUUUUAAGAUUUUAAAGUCCAAACAUUUAUGUAAUAUCCCAACUCUCCUAAUAUUCUUUUUAUACCAUCCCAUAUUUUUUUAAUUUUACGAUAAUUUUUGGGCAAUUUUCUAAAUUGAUUUUUUGACCAGAAUUUUGAACAAAAUGUGCGGGAACACCCAUAUUUUUUCCUAUUCUCUCUUGGAGCAUCCAACCCCUUCUUGUUCAUUCUAUUCCUCAUUCACGAGGUGGGAAUUUAGGAUGAGAUGGUGGCAAAAUUGUCGCAUGGCAUUUAGAGAGAACCCUAAUACCUUUGUUUUCAUGUUUAUAUAUAUAUUGAAAUUGCUUGACAAGAGGAAAAUCGAAAAAAAAUAUUGGCCAAAAAAAAAAACAAUUAAAGAAAAAAUGAGAAAAAAAUAUAUUGUUACGCUUUAUUUGACUUUAAAAAUAAAUUAUAAAAUUAUUUUAGAUAAUUAUAGAUAAAUUUUAAUGUAAUAUUUAAAAUGUAUAUAAUGAAUUAUACAUAUUAUUUUAUUUUUAAGUCAUUUAUAAUAGAAAUUAUUAAAUUUUAUUAAAACUUCAGAAUUCUAAAUAAGAUAAAUGAAAGUAAAAAUUUGGCCAAACUACGGGAACAAAUGAUGCAAUUUACCCGGGAAUAAAGGCAACACAUCUAAACCGUCCAUUCAUUUGAGGAUCGUAAGGUGGCGGAGGCUAGGGUUUCGAACAUUCCGGAUAACCGAGAACAACGCGGUAAUACUCCUAUAAAGCCAUCUCUUUCUUCAUCUCCAAAGGAAUUCCAAAACCCUAGAUUACUGUACCUCUCUCUCUCAGAAGUUAUGGCCGGAAAGGGAGAGGGACCAGCGAUCGGAAUCGAUCUCGGCACGACCUACUCGUGCGUCGGGGUAUGGCGGCACGACCGCGUCGAGAUCAUCGCCAACGACCAAGGCAACCGUACGACGCCGUCCUACGUCGGCUUCACCGACACCGAACGGUUGAUCGGCGCCGCCGCCAAGAAUCAGGUCGCCAUGAACUACAUUAACACUGUAUUCGGUAAGACUCCUCUCUCUUUCUCUCUCUAAUUUUAUUUGGAUCUGUUAGUGGCCAUAAUAUGGUCUACCGGAUCUACUAGUUUG